AACGAACGCUGGCGGCAUGCCUAACACAUGCAAGUCGAACGAGACCUUCGGGUCUAGUGGCGCACAGGUGCGUAACGCGUGGGAAUCUGCCCUUGGGUUCGGAAUAACUCAGAGAAAUUUGAGCUAAUACCGGAUGAUGACGAAAGUCCAAAGAUUUAUCGCCCAAGGAUGAGCUCGCGUAAGAUUAGCUUGUUGGUGGGGUAAUGGCCCACCAAGGCGACGAUCUUUAGCUGGUCUGAGAGGAUGAUCAGCCACACUGGGACUGAGACCCGGACAAGACUCCUACGGAGGGCAGCAGUGGGCAAUAUUGGACAAUGGGCGAAAGCCUGAUCCAGCAAUGCCGCGUGAGUGAUGAAGGCCUUAGGGUUGUAAAGCUCUUUUACCAGGGAUGAUAAUGACAGUACCUGGAGAAUAAGCGCCGGCUAACUUCGUGCCAGCCGCCGCCGUAAAAC
rnacentral:rRNA from 1 species